AUAUAUGUGGUCUUGCCAGAAGGUAUCAGCCAUGUAAUAUGAAAAAUAGAGACAUUUAUUGAAGAAUAUACAAAAUACAAGGAACAUUGUACAUAGAACAGUGAUACCUCAGUCCCCCUCAAAAUAGGCACCUUCAGACUCACGCAGUUCUUCCAAUAGCUAUCAGUUGCCACAUUGUAUUUUCCUGAAUCUCACUGAUGAUCUGAAAUCCCUUCCUUUCAAACAUGAUUUUAGUUUUGGGAAAAAACAGAAGUUGCAGGGCACCAAAUCUGGGCAGUAGCAGGGCUGAGUCACCUGGGUGAUUGGAUGUUUUGCCAAAAAAUGCUGCACAAGCCAUGAUGCAUAAGCAGGUAUGUUGACAUGACAAAGCUGCCAAUCACCAGUUACGCAUAGCUGAAGCCUUCUAGGUCACCUGAAUAGUUUCCAUGGAGGAAUGUUCAAGCUUAAUGCAAAAUCUGAUGCAGAUUCAUUGUUCUACUCACUCAGUCAUUUUGAACUCGAUCGCCAUACAGUACAUGCUCACUCUACUGCAUCUACUGCUCCCAGUGACUAGUACAGUGAAGUCAUCAUUGUUCAUGUAUAUGCAUCCCUGUCCACUCUCCUUCACUUCCAGGUUACAUCAAUGUUACACAAACUGUUCUCAUUAUAUUAACAAUGGCUGGACUUUUUCCAGGCAG